rnacentral:rRNA from 1 species
ACUCCUACGGGAGGCAGCAGUGGGGAAUAUUGGACAAUGGGCGCAAGCCUGAUCCAGCCAUGCCGCGUGAGUGAUGAAGGCCCUAGGGUUGUAAAGCUCUUUCACCGGUGAAGAUAAUGACGGUAACCGGAGAAGAAGCCCCGGCUAACUUCGUGCCAGCAGCCGCGGUAAUACGAAGGGGGCUGGCGUUGUUCGGAUUUACUGGGCGUAAAGCGCACGUAGGCGGACUAUUAAGUCAGGGGUGAAAUCCCGGGGCUCAACCCCGGAACUGCCUUUGAUACUGGUAGUCUUGAGUUCGAGAGAGGUGAGUGGAAUUCCGAGUGUAGAGGUGAAAUUCGUAGAUAUUCGGAGGAACACCAGUGGCGAAGGCGGCUCACUGGCUCGAUACUGACGCUGAGGUGCGAAAGCGUGGGGAGCAAACAGGAUUAGAUACCCCGGUAGUCCCAUGAU